ensembl:snRNA U6 U6 spliceosomal RNA
AUCAGUUCCUUUCCCAUAUAUUAUUAACAUUGGAACCAUACAGAGAAGAUUAGCAUGGCCUCUGUUCAAGGAUAAUUUGCAAAUUCAUGAAGCAUUCCAUAUUCUA